rnacentral:rRNA from 1 species
UACGAAGGGGGCUAGCGUUGCUCGGAAUCACUGGGCGUAAAGCGCACGUAGGCGGCUUCUUAAGUCAGGGGUGAAAUCCUGGAGCUCAACUCCAGAACUGCCCUUGAUACUGAGGAGCUCGAGUCCGGAAGAGGUGAGUGGAACUGCGAGUGUAGAGGUGAAAUUCGUAGAUAUUGGGAAGAACACCGGUGGCGAAGGCGGGAUCCUGGGCCAGUACUGACGCUGAGGAGCGAAAGCGUGGGGAGCAAACAGG